GAGGGGUAUAGAGGGGUUCAGAAAGGUAGAGAGGGGUGCAGAGGGGUAGAGAGGGGUGCAGAGGGGUAGAGAGGGGUGCAGAGGGGUAGAGAGAGGGGUACAGAGGGAUAGAGAGGGGUGCAGAGGGGUAGAGAAAGGUAGAGAGGGGUGCAGAGGGGUAGAGAGGGGUGUAGCGGGGUAGAGAGGGGUAUAGCGGGGCAGAGAAGGGUACAGAGGGAGAUGUGUGUGUUGUUUUUGGCAGGGUUAAAGGGAGCUCAUUUCACACCCCUGUA
ensembl:lncRNA